rnacentral:lncRNA from 1 species
CGGUGACUGAAGGUAGGCGGCUCUCACCCGGGGUCUCAGUCACCCUGCGCCUUGCGCGCUCCCGACUGGCUGGCGGCGGCUGCACCUCCGCACCCCCGUCCCACCCCACCCUUGCACGGCAGGUGAAAUACGUCACUUCCGGUAGUGGCUGAGCCCCGCGGCGCGCGCCGGCUCCGCCAAGAGCGUGGGGUUGCCGUGGCAACCAGUGCGGACUGCCCUAGGGAUCCUCUGGAAUAGAAUUCCCCGGCCAGCUGCGCUCUGUCUUGGGGUGAGCCGGCAGCCAUUCCCCCCAUGAGCCCAGGUCCCCGCUUCAGUGCCUUUAGUUAAAUCAGGGUGUGUGCACUAGGGUCGAGCAGGCUCUUUUCCCCAGUUGCGGUCGCGCCCUUGCUCCAGGAUGAGGCACGGAACGACCCACGCCUGCGGUCCUGCCCCGGGAUCCUGAAGGGCGGCAAACACGGUUGGCCCCGCAGGCGCUCACCCCGCCCUCCCCUCUGGCUGUUCCCUAUCUGGAGUGACUUAGAGGAGAGAAGCAGUGUGGUGCAGUGGGCCAUCUGACUUCAUGGAUCAGACAAAGGGAAUCGUUGCCUUCUACAUCCGGAUGUUGGCCCCUAAACGGCACACCUCUGCAUGUUCAACAGCAGUGGCAGCAGCUUCAGCAAACAUCAGCAUCACAGUUGCCAUUCAGCAGAUUGGAAAUUACCAGAGUCAUAUCUAAUAACUGCAGUGACAUAAACCAGCAUAUGACAAUAGACACUCAGGAAGUUGAGGCCAGAAGGAAUAAAAUGUUCCCUAGACACUUUAAUCCUGGUUGUGUUUUCUGCCUUGACAAAAUUGCUGAAAGUAAGUAUCUCUAUAAGCUGGGGAAUGUUUUGGGCGUCCCUUUCACAGUGGCUCUGAUAAGUCCUGCUCAUAGUAGAGGAUACUGGUUUGACUCUCAGCCACAAUCUUUUGAGUAGUUAUGCCCAAGGGAGGUGGAACAGACACUUAGUGAAACAGAAGCCUUGUCUAUUUCUUAAGUAAACAUUUAUCAGAUGAACUGGUGUAUAAAAUUUAUCAUAUCAGGAAGAGCCAACCUUAAUAUCAAACAUGACAUAGUUCAAGCAUAAACAAAUUAUUAUGUAAAUAAUAGGUAGCCAUGGAAGCAAUGAGAACAACAAAUUAUCAUAAGAAUAUACUUGAGCUGGUCUGGAUACUGGGACAGGGUAGUUUCCAUACACCAUUUCUGGUCCUCCAAACAACUUUGCAAGGUAAAUGUGAUUCUCUUGAUUUUCCAGUGGAAGAAAUUGAAACUCAGAAUUCUGCACCCAGAGCUAUAUAGCUGGUAAAUGGCAGUGCCUGGAUUAAAAUAACUAAUCAUCAGGAUCAUGAUCAUUAAGAUUGAUGACAUUUAUGUGUACAUACUGAUGAUCACAACUGGGAUGAUGGCCUUCCAUAUGUUAUUUAUUCCAACAACAACUUCUUGAGUUAGUCACAUCAUGCCCAUUCUACAUAUGAAGAAAGUAAAUUUUGAAGGUUAAAGGGCUCCAUCAAAGUCAUAUGAUGGGCAUGCAGCAGCUCUGGAAUUUUAACUAGGAUAUGAAGGAUUAUUCUGCCUUCACCCAUUCUACCAAGCCUCUGAAAACAGAUUUCUCAUGUCCUGCCCUAUGCCUGCCUCAACUGACAUGUUUCAAUCAAGCAUGUGAGAGGGUAAGUUCCAUUUCCCACUCUUGCCCCCAAGGGUCUGACUAAUGCUGCUCUCUUCAAAGAACUGCUAACAUCUCUAGUUUAAGCAAUGUGCAAAAUAACUGAUGCAAAUAAAAUCUCUUUCCCCAAGGCCUCUCUUAUGCA